rnacentral:lncRNA from 1 species
CCCAUAGCAUUGCCACGCAAUGCCCAUGGUAUCCUGCCCACUGGGUCAUCCAUGCCUGAGGCCCACUGGCUCUUCCUGCCCACGGAGCCCUGGCCGCCAGUGGGGACCUGUCACCAUUCCUCCUGUGGCCUCUGACCUACCUUCCCUCUGUCCUGCCCGGGAGCCCUGCAUGUUUACUGUGACAGCUGCUUGCUUAUCUUCUCAGGCUCCCUCCCCGUGAGGUCAGCACCCAGCUUGACAUCAGAAUGCUGCCGGGGGGGUGGGGAGGACACUGUGUCAGCUGCACAGCGCUGCCCUCUGCCCUCUGCCCCCCGCCCUCUGCCCACCAGCCUGGAGGAAGAGUGUCCACCUGCCACCCGCCAAGGCUGACUGCCUGAAAGAGCAAACUGCUGAGUUACAAAAUCACAGGGCCCUCAGAUCAGGGACUCUGGGUCGGCUCACCCCCUUUGCAGAUGGAGAAACUGAGGCCGGAGGGGGGCAGCAGCCUCAGCCUCUGAAGGAGCUCGGACUCAGGCUCGGUGAGCCGCGCUGUGUGCCGGUCCUGGCGGCGGCAAGGAUCCAGCUCCGCGAGCAGAGCUGGGCCCAGAGGGUCCGAUCAUCCCAGAAGCAGAGGCAGAUUCCUCCAUCGGCAACCAGAGUGACAGGAAGACCUGUUUUUAUUCUGGAAACCACCAAAAAAUCCUCAAACCACCAAACACAAAGAUAAGCAAGGAGCCUUUCAGCCCUCUCUCAGAUGCCCUAAUGUCUCAGGGCCCUGGAGCUUUGUUUACGUGGCUGGGCAGAGAGGCAGCUGUCCCCACCUGGGGUCCCUUGCUUGCCAGGCUGCCGCUCAGGGUGAACGUGACAAGGGACUUGGGCAGACAGUCCAGGGGCAGGGAAAUGUCCGAUUCUUGCCUCUCAUCCUCAGGACUUCUCACGGGAAGCGGCUGUGGUUUUAGGAGCCGAGAUUAACCGUGGCAUCUGGACCUGUAAGGAGGAUGGCGACGCUGCGGGAGGAAAGGGAGUUCCAGCGAAACUCCUGGAACGAGCUGAUCUUCCACUCUUUCUCUCAGCAGCCAGCGGGCUCCUUUUAAAAAGGAAAUCUACAUUUU